AGAGUUUGAUCAUGGCUCAGGAUGAACGCUAGCUACAGGCUUAACACAUGCAAGUCGAGGGGAAACGACAUCGAAAGCUUGCUUUUGAUGGGCGUCGAACCGGCGCACGGGUGAGUAACGCGUAUCCAACCUGCCCACCACUUGGGGAUAACCUUGCGAAAGUAAGACUAAUACCCAAUGAUAUCUCUAGAAGACAUCUGAAAGAGAUUAAAGAUUUAUCGGUGAUGGAUGGGGAUGGCGUCUGAUUAGCUUGUUGGCGGGGUAACGGCCCACCAAGGCAACGAUCAGUAGGGGUUCUGAGAGGAAGGUCCCCCACAUUGGAACUGAGACACGGUCCAAACGCCUACGGGAGGCAGCA
rnacentral:rRNA from 1 species